CAUUACUGAAAAAAACUCGAGGAUGUUGCUGGCGGCCACGCACGUGCACUCCUUGAACUAUUUCUGACCCUUUCCACACCAUGUGCACCUGUUGUAGGUCUGCCGACCUAUGUUUUUCUAAAACUCCAUCGAAUGUAUACGGAAUGUAUGAUUGCCAGGGCUUUUUAGCCCAAGUCAAUAAAGCACAACUUUCAACAAUGGAUCUCUUGGCUCUCGCAUCGAUGAAGAACGCAGCGAAAUGCGAUACGUAAUGUGAAUUGCAGAAUUCCGUGAAUCAUUGAAUCUUUGAACGCACCUUGCGCCCCUUGGUAUUCCGAGGGGCAUGCCUGUUUGAGUGUCAUUGAACCCCUCUCAACUUGACCUUUUGGGGUUGAGCUUGGAUUUGGAGAGUGCCGGCGUGUUCGGCUCCUCUGAAAAGCAUUAGCGAGCAACUCAUGCGUCUGCUUUGGCAUUGAUAAAUCUGUCUAUGCCUCUGGGCGGCACGCAUCUGGUGGUUUGCUUACGAGUGGUCUCUUUUUGAGGGACAACAUCACCCAACAAUCACCU
rnacentral:rRNA from 1 species